GAAAUGCGAUAAGUAAUGUGAAUUGCAGAAUUCAGUGAAUCAUCGAAUCUUUGAACGCACCUUGCGUUCCUUGGUAUUCCUUGGAGCAUGCCUGUUUGAGUAUCAUGAAAUCUUCAAAGUAAAUCUUUUGUUAACUCAAUUGGUUUCUACUUUGGUAUUGGAGGUCUUUGCAGCUUCACACCUGCUCCUCUUUGUUCAUUAGCUGGAUCUCAGUGUUAUGCUUGGUUCCACUCGGCGUGAUAAGUUAUCUAUCGCUGAGGACACUGUAAAAGGUGGCCAAGGUAAAUGCAGAUGAACCGCUUCUAAUAGUCCAUUGACUUGGACAAUACUUUUAUGAUCUGAUCUCAAAUCAGGUGGGACUACCCGCUGAACUUAAGC
rnacentral:misc_RNA from 1 species